rnacentral:rRNA from 1 species
UGGGGAAUAUUGCACAAUGGGGGAAACCCUGAUGCAGCGACGCCGCGUGAACGAAGAAGGUAUUUGUAUCGUAAAGUUCUGUCCUAUGGGAAGAUAAUGACAGUACCAUAGAAGAAAGCUCCGGCUAAAUACGUGCCAGCAGCCGCGGUAAUACGUAUGGAGCGAGCGUUGUCCGGAAUUAUUGGGCGUAAAGGGUACGCAGGCGGUUUAAUAAGUCGAAUGUUAAAGAUCGGGGCUCAACCCCGCAAAGCAUUGGAAACUGAUAAACUUGAGUAGUGGAGAGGAAAGUGGAAUUCCUAGUGUAGUGGUGAAAUACGUAGAUAUUAGGAGGAAUACCAGUAGCGAAGGCGACUUUCUGGACACAAACUGACGCUGAGGUACGAAAGCGUGGGGAGCAAACAGG